GAAGCAAGUCUCUCGAACUUUCUAGAAGCUUCUCAGUUGGUAGAAGAUGUUAGGGACAUAGUCCUUAGAAUCUUCUAGAAGCAAGUCUUUGAAACCUUCUAGAAGCUUCCUAGUUGGUAGAAGUUGCUUGAGAGGCUUCCUAAAUAGGAGUAUAUAAUAGAAUCGAGGCUGAAGAGUUCUUCAGUCUCGACAACACAUCUCUUGAAGCUCUAGCUCACCUCUCUGGUAUUGUUCUCAUCUGAUUAAUCUAGUUCUUGCCAGUUCUUGUUGAACUUCUUGUUAGAUCUCGAGUUUGUAUUUCUGUGUCCGUGACAAACAGUCGCCUCAAACCCUAAUCUUUAUAUACAUGCGCACAAUUUUCUUCAUAUCUCACAAACCAUAAGUUUAAAUGCCACGAAACUUAUAUACAUAGCUUUUUAACACAAAUACUUACAUUCUCCCAAAGUUUGAGCUAAAAUUUCGUUUGAAAACUCAAGUUAUGGCUCCUAACACUACUUUGAACAAAACCGCUCACUUACUGCCUUUGAUUUGAAUGUGCUAUCUUUAACUCCCUAUAACUCCUUCACUUAAACUCCAAA
rnacentral:lncRNA from 1 species